rnacentral:rRNA from 2 species
GACACGACUCUCGGCAAUGGAUAUCUCGGCUCUCGCAUCGAUGAAGAGCGCAGCGAAAUGCG